rnacentral:tRNA from 1 species
GCUGGUAUGGGUCAGUGGUAGAGUGCCUUCCUAGCAUGCAGGAGGCACUGUGUUCAAUUCUCAGCACCAUAU